rnacentral:rRNA from 1 species
AUUGAACGCUGGCGGCAUGCCUUACACAUGCAAGUCGAACGGCAGCACGGGGGCAACCCUGGUGGCGAGUGGCGAACGGGUGAGUAAUACAUCGGAAUGUACCCAGUAGUGGGGGAUAACUAGUCGAAAGAUUAGCUAAUACCGCAUACGCACUAUGGUGGAAAGCGGGGGAUCGCAAGACCUCGCGCUAUUGGAGCAGCCGAUGUCCGAUUAGGUAGUUGGUGGGGUAAAAGCCUACCAAGCCUGCGAUCGGUAGCUGGUCUGAGAGGAUGAUCAGCCACACUGGGACUGAGACACGGCCCAGACUCCUACGGGAGGCAGCAGUGGGGAAUAUUGGACAAUGGGCGCAAGCCUGAUCCAGCCAUGCCGCGUGAGUGAAGAAGGCCCUCGGGUUGUAAAGCUCUUUUGUCCGGAAAGAAAGCGCCGGGUUAAUACCCUGGUGUCCUGACGGUACCGGAAGAAUAAGCACCGGCUAACUUCGUGCCAGCAGCCGCGGU